GAUGAAGAACGUAGCGAAAUGCGAUAAGUAGUGUGAAUUGCAGAAUUCCGUGAAUCAUCGAAUCUUUGAACGCACAUUGCGCCUUCUGGUAUUCCGGAAGGCAUGCCUGAUCGAGAGUCAUUAACAACCGUUUCGAUCCCUUUCUUUCAGAAAUUACAAAGAGGAAAAGGGUUUGGUUAUGGUGGAGGAGGGAAAGGGAGCGUUUAGCCUGUAAAAAAAGAGGCUGUGUUCCGCCUCCCCCCCAAAAUUGUACAGGCGGUCGUGUGCGCCCACGCAUCGAGGUGUUGUAAAAGCUGCCACGGCACUUUUCACCUGUGCAGUGCGAGAUUGGCCAGCCGGUUUAAAAACCCCUCCAAACAAUCAAAGGUUGACCUCGGAUCAGGUAGGGAUACCCGCUGAACUUAAGCAUAUCAAUAAGCGGAGGA
rnacentral:misc_RNA from 1 species